UACCAAACCUUUUUUUACAACUUAGCUUCUCCUCGAACCAUGAUGUUUAAUUUCUCCCUAGGACUAUUUUCUGUCUAGUGAGGAAAGGAGCUGAAUUAGAUCUUGAAGGGACAAGUGCCAACCCACUUUGUUUCUGAACUCAUGAAGACAUGAACUUGGCUAUGUUUUUAGCCUUCAUCAUCUGCUUCAUUCUCUGAGUGAGUUCAUUGGAGGCUAUGGCAGCAGAGAAUGGCACAGUUGAUGAUAAGGAGAUGAUCAUGACCACCAAGAACUUGGGAUCUUCCAUCUCAUCAAAUUCAUUCACAACAAUGAUAUAUAUGGUGCAGCUCCUGUUUGUGUUGUUGGAUUUGACAACACAUUUAUAUGGUUAUGAACUGAUCAAGUCAUGGGAUCAAGAAAAUAUUAUAGACCCUCUUGUACUGGACAAGGAUCUCAAAUCCAACAAUUGAUGAUUCCUUGUUGCUUAUGAGAUCCUAUAUAUGUUCUUGUACUGCUCCUCAUCAAGAGAGUUCCCCUUCUCAACUUCAAAAUAUUGGACACUGUUUUAAUUAUAUUAAUUAAUUAAUCGUUUUCUUAGCAUUAAGCCUCUUUUUGAACGAAUUCCACCCUUGUCGUAAUACUAGUUAGUACACUACAUGAGUUGCUAUGCCGCAUAUAUAAUGUAAUAAAUUGAAGUUUAUUAAUGUUCUUUCUUGCAUAACA